rnacentral:rRNA from 1 species
UACGUAGGGUGCAAGCGUUAAUCGGAAUUACUGGGCGUAAAGCGUGCGCAGGCGGUGAUGUAAGACCGAUGUGAAAUCCCCGGGCUCAACCUGGGGAUUGCGAUGGAGACUGCAAGGCUAGAAUCUGGCAGAGGGGGGUAGAAUUCCACGUGUAGCAGUGAAAUGCGUAGAGAUGUGGAGGAACACCGAUGGCGAAGGCAGCCCCCUGGGUCAAGAUUGACGCUCAUGCACGAAAGCGUGGGGAGCAAACAGGAUUAGACGACCCAGUA